CCUACGGGGUGCAGCAGUGGGGAAUAUUGCACAAUGGGGGAAACCCUGAUGCAGCGACGCCGCGUGCGUGAAGAAGUAUUUCGGUAUGUAAAGCUCUAUCAGCAGGGAAGAAAAUGACGGUACCUGAUUAAUAAGCCCCGGCUAACUACGUGCCAGCAGCCGCGGUAAUACGUAGGGGGCAAGCGUUAUCCGGAUUUACUGGGUGUAAAGGGAGCGUAGACGGCAGCACAAGUCUGGAGUGAAAUGCCGGGGCUUAACCCCGGAACUGCUGUGGAAACUGGGCAGCUAGAGUGCAGGAGAGGUAAGUGGAAUUCCGUGUGUAGCGGUGAAAUGCGUAGAUAUACGGAGGAACACCAGUGGCGAAGGCGGAUUGCUGGACAGUAACUGACGCUGAGGCGCGAAAGCGUGGGGAGCAAACAGGAUUAGAUACCCCAGUAGUC
rnacentral:rRNA from 1 species